rnacentral:rRNA from 1 species
AACGAACGCUGGCGGCAUGCCUAACACAUGCAAGUCGAACGAAGGCUUCGGCCUUAGUGGCGCACGGGUGCGUAACGCGUGGGAAUCUGCCCCUCGGUUCGGAAUAACAGUUAGAAGUUACGCUAAUACCGGAUGAUGACGUAAGUCCAAAGAUUUAUCGCCCAAGGAUGAGCCCGCGUAAGAUUAGCUUGUUGGUGGGGUAAUGGCCUACCAAGGCGACGAUCUUUAGCUGGUCUGAGAGGAUGAUCAGCCACACUGGGACUGAGACACGGCCCAGACUCCUACGGGAGGCAGCAGUGGGGAAUAUUGGACAAUGGGCGAAAGCCUGAUCCAGCAAUGCCGCGUGAGUGAUGAAGGCCUUAGGGUUGUAAAGCUCUUUUACCAGGGAUGAUAAUGACAGUACCUGGAGAAUAAGCUCCGGCUAACUCCGUGCCAGCAGCCGCCGUAA